rnacentral:rRNA from 1 species
GAGUUUGAUCCUGGCUCAGGAUGAACGCUGGCGGCGUGCCUAAUACAUGCAAGUCGAGCGAACGGACGAGAAGCUUGCUUCUCUGAUGUUAGCGGCGGACGGGUGAGUAACACGUGGAUAACCUACCUAUAAGACUGGGAUAACUUCGGGAAACCGGAGCUAAUACCGGAUAAUAUUUUGAACCGCAUGGUUCAAAAGUGAAAGACGGUCUUACUGUCACUUAUAGAUGGAUCCGCGCUGCAUUAGCUAGUUGGUAAGGUAACGGCUUACCAAGGCAACGAUGCAUAGCCGACCUGAGAGGGUGAUCGGCCACACUGGAACUGAGACACGGUCCAGACUCCUACGGGAGGCAGCAGUAGGGAAUCUUCCGCAAUGGGCGAAAGCCUGACGGAGCAACGCCGCGUGAGUGAUGAAGGUCUUCGGAUCGUAAAACUCUGUUAUUAGGGAAGAACAUAUGUGUAAGUAACUGUGCACAUCUUGACGGUACCUAAUCAGAAAGCCACGGCUAACUACGUGCCAGCAGCCGCGGUAAUACGUAGGUGGCAAGCGUUAUCCGGAAUUAUUGGGCGUAAAGCGCGCGUAGGCGGUUUUUUAAGUCUGAUGUGAAAGCCCACGGCUCAACCGUGGAGGGUCAUUGGAAACUGGAAAACUUGAGUGCAGAAGAGGAAAGUGGAAUUCCAUGUGUAGCGGUGAAAUGCGCAGAGAUAUGGAGGAACACCAGUGGCGAAGGCGACUUUCUGGUCUGUAACUGACGCUGAUGUGCGAAAGCGUGGGGAUCAAACAGGAUUAGAUACCCUGGUAGUCCACGCCGUAAACGAUGAGUGCUAAGUGUUAGGGGUUUCCGCCCCUUAGUGCUGCAGCUAACGCAUUAAGCACUCCGCCUGGGGAGUACGACCGCAAGGUUGAAACUCAAAGGAAUUGACGGGGACCCGCACAAGCGGUGGAGCAUGUGGUUUAAUUCGAAGCAACGCGAAGAACCUUACCAAAUCUUGACAUCCUUUGACAACUCUAGAGAUAGAGCUUUCCCCUUCGGGGGACAAAGUGACAGGUGGUGCAUGGUUGUCGUCAGCUCGUGUCGUGAGAUGUUGGGUUAAGUCCCGCAACGAGCGCAACCCUUAAGCUUAGUUGCCAUCAUUAAGUUGGGCACUCUAAGUUGACUGCCGGUGACAAACCGGAGGAAGGUGGGGAUGACGUCAAAUCAUCAUGCCCCUUAUGAUUUGGGCUACACACGUGCUACAAUGGACAAUACAAAGGGCAGCGAAACCGCGUGGUCAAGCAAAUCCCAUAAAGUUGUUCUCAGUUCGGAUUGUAGUCUGCAACUCGACUACAUGAAGCUGGAAUCGCUAGUAAUCGUAGAUCAGCAUGCUACGGUGAAUACGUUCCCGGGUCUUGUACACACCGCCCGUCACACCACGAGAGUUUGUAACACCCGAAGCCGGUGGAGUAACCUUUUAGGAGCUAGCCGUCGAAGGUGGGACAAAUGAUUGGGGUGAAGUCGUAACAAGGUAGCCGUAUCGGAAGGUGCGGCUGGAUCACC